CAAUCCUAACCUUAACCCUAAUUUCUAAACAUGCAUUUCAUUUUUUAAUGUCUAACAUCAUCAAUUGAACAAAUGUCCGCAAAUUUAAUGUCAAAAAUUAAAAAAUCAUAAUAAUAAAUUAUUACAUUGAUGAUCCGCAAAUGAUUAUUUAAUUAUCCGCAACAAAAAUUCCAGCAACCCUAAAAAAAAAAUUUCCACCAAAAAUUAACUUUUAAUUUAAAUUCCAGCAACCAAUUAACCCUUAAAUUAAAAUUCCAGCAACAAAAAAAAAAAAAUUUCCAGCAACAAAAAAAAAUAAUUUCCAGCAACCAUUAUCUUUAAAUUAAAAUUCCAACAACCAUGCAUUAACCCUUAAAUUCAAAUUCCAGCAAACAAAAAAAAAAUAUUAAUAAAACACAACUUAUAAUCUAAUUGAAAUAAUAACCCAACUCACAACUAGUGCUUUCCUAAACACACACUCAUCCCCAUCACAAAUUCACAAUGCAUGAUUUUUUUUUUAAAUCAAAAGACAAAUCAUUGGAAAGUAUGAUUUAAAAUCAUAAACCCCCAAAUCACAAAUCAAAAGACAAAUCACAAUGCAUGAAAAGUUUGAUUUAAAAUUGGAAAGUAACCCCAAAUAAAAAACCACCAAAUCAUAAACCCCCAAAUUAAAAACAACAAAAAAAUAAGAGAAGAAGAUGAACAUAAUGUAAACCAUACCUUCAAGAUAAUUUCGACAAUGACCGGAGAGAAGUGGCCGGCCGGAUUAGAAGAAGGUAACUAUAUAAAUGAUAAACAUAAACAUUCAAAUUAAUAACUUAAUCAUACAUCAUACAUCAUACAUCAAAUUAAUAACUAAUCAUACAUCAUAUAUCAAAUAAUCAUACAUCAAAUACAUCAAAAACAGUAACUUAAAUCCUAAAUAAUCAAUAAUAACUUCAUUACUUAAUCUACAUUACUCCUAAAUAAACAUUAAUCCUAAAAACAUUACUAAAUAAACAUUACUUAAAUCAAUCAAAUGAAUCAAUAAUAACUUCAAAUUAAUCAAUAACUUAAACAACACAUUAAUCAAUAAUAACUAAAACUAAAAACCAUUAACUAAAACACCCAAAAAUACAUAAACCCUAAAAUACACAAAUCCCAAAUAACAAUUAACUUAAUAAUAACUAACCCUAAACCCUAACACAUACAUAAAUAACAAUACACUUAAAAUAAAAUUCAGUAAAAUAAAACAUUCAGUAACUUAAUUCACUUAAAAAUAACACUUAAAAUAAAACAAUACACUUAAAAUAAAAUAAAAUUCAGUAACAAUUAUUAAAAAAUUCAGAACUUGGUAAAUAAUAACAAUUAACUUAAUAAUAAAAAAUUCAGUAACAAUAACAAUUAACUUAAUAACUUGGUAAAUAAUUAUACAUAUGUAUGUGUUAAAAUAGUAACAAUAACACAUACAUAAUAUCUGUCCAUUACAAAUUCAGUACUAAUAUUAACUUCUUAUUCACUUAAAAAAUCAGUACAUGCACAAUGAUACAAUACACAAUGACUUCAUAUUAAGAACUUGGUUAAUUACAAUAUUAAAAACUUGAGCAAGAGGUAAAUAAGGAUACAUAUUAACUUAAUAACAAAAUUACUAAUUAUAAAUUAAAUUUCAUAUAGAUCUAAUCAAAACCCCUAAAUAAAAAACCCUAAAUCAAAACCCCUAAAUCAAAACCCCAAAAUCAAACCCCCAAUAUCAAAAACCCCAAAAUCAAACCCCCAAAAUCAACCUAACAUCUAACCCCAAUAUAUAAACCAACAAAUACAUACAUACAUAGACAAUGUAGAAGAAUAGGAAAAGAUGAUAAAAAUUUAUAAAAUGGAGAAGAUGAGGAAGUAGAACAUGAAGUAGACAAUGUAGAAAUGGAGAACAUGAAGAGGAAGUAUAAAAUGGAGAUUAUUACCUUGGGGAGAAGUUACAAACGCCUUGGGGAGAACUUUGAACACCUUUGGAGAAGUUUGGGAGAGUUUGGGAGAGUUUGGAGAGUUUGGGAGAGUGAGGAGUAGGAGGAAACCGUUGGGAGAAAUGAGAA
rnacentral:lncRNA from 1 species